rnacentral:tRNA from 1 species
UCCCUAGUGGCCUAGUGGUUAAGGGCUCAGCAUUGUCACUGCUAUGGUGCAGGUUCAAUCCCUGGCCCAGGAA